UGCGUAGGCGGUUUAAUAAGUCAGAGGUGAAAGCCCGCAGCUCAACUGUGGAAUUGCCUUUGAUACUGCUAGACUUGAAUCAGGUUGAGGUUGGCGGAAUGUGGCAUGUAGCGGUGAAAUGCAUAGAUAUGCCAUAGAACACCAAUUGCGAAGGCAGCUGACUAGACCUGUAUUGACGCUGAGGCACGAAAGCGUGGGGAGCGAACAGGAUUAGAUACCCUGGUAGUCC
rnacentral:rRNA from 1 species